rnacentral:rRNA from 1 species
UAGGGAAUCUUCCACAAUGGGCGCAAGCCUGAUGGAGCAACACCGCGUGAGUGAAGAAGGGUUUUCGGCUCGUAAAGCUCUGUUGUUAAAGAAGAACACGUAUGAGAGUAACUGUUCAUACGUUGACGGUAUUUAACCAGAAAGUCACGGCUAACUACGUGCCAGCAGCCGCGGUAAUACGUAGGUGGCAAGCGUUAUCCGGAUUUAUUGGGCGUAAAGAGAGUGCAGGCGGUUUUCUAAGUCUGAUGUGAAAGCCUUCGGCUUAACCGGAGAAGUGCAUCGGAAACUGGAUAACUUGAGUGCAGAAGAGGGUAGUGGAACUCCAUGUGUAGCGGUGGAAUGCGUAGAUAUAUGGAAGAACACCAGUGGCGAAGGCGGCUACCUGGUCUGCAACUGACGCUGAGACUCGAAAGCAUGGGUAGCGAACAGGAUUAGAUACCCUGGUAGUCCAUGCCGUAAACGAUGAGUGCUAGGUGUUGGAGGGUUUUCCGCCCUUCAGUGCCGGAGCUAACGCAUUAAGCACUC